rnacentral:rRNA from 1 species
AUUGAACGCUAGCGGGAUGCUUUACACAUGCAAGUCGAACGCGGGGCAGACGGGUGAGUAAUAUAUCGGAACGUGUCCAGUAGCGGGGGAUAACUACUCGAAAGCGUGGCUAAUACCGCAACCUCUUGGAUCGGCCGAUAUCGGAUUAGCUAGUUGGUGGGGUAAAGGCACACCAAGGCAACGAUCCGUAGCUGGUUUGAGAGGACGACCAGCCACACUGGGACUGAGACACGGCCCAGACUCCUACGGGAGGCAGCAGUGGGGAAUUUUGGACAAUGGGGGAAACCCUGAUCCAGCCAUCCCGCGUGUAUGAGAAGGCCUUCGGGUUGUAAAGUACUUUUGGCAGAGAAGCGGUAUCUGCAGAAUAAGCACCGGCUAACUACGUGCCAGCAGCCGCGGUAAUUC